UUAUCUUUUUUUUCUAGAAAAAAAACGCGAACUUGACCCAGAUUCCACAACAGUUUCAACCUCAGCUAAAUGUGUCGAGAAAAAACGUAAACUUGACGCAGACUCAACAACAGUUUCAACCUCAGCUAAAUGUAUCG